AUUGAGGACUGAUUUAACAACUCUCCGUGAUGGAUCUUGUCAACGGUCAUGAAGCUUCAGCCCCAGCCUCUCCCCUCACCGUCUCCCCCUGCUGCUCGGAGCUAUUUGGCCGCUGUAUGAAUCCAGCUGUGGGUGAAUGCGUGCAGGUGUGAAGCCCGUUCCUAAUCCCCUGGCUGUGCACCCGGGUUCCUUUCGUACGCUUUGAACACGUGCCACAGAUCUUCGUUCCAGUAGGUAAGACUGCUUCUCAUCUGUGCAAGCUGAUGGCUUAUAUAUGUUUUUUGGGUUUCCCUAAAGCAGCCUAAAGUCUCCUAAUCCUCCCUUUCUGCCUCAUAUCU
rnacentral:lncRNA from 1 species